AGGGGUGUAGCUCAGUUGGUAGAGCAGCGGUCUCCAAAACCGCAGGUCGCGGGUUCGAAUCCUGUCGCCCCUGCCA
rnacentral:tRNA from 4 species